GGGUGAGUAACACGUGGGUAACCUGCCUCAAAGUGGGGGAUAGCCUUCCGAAAGGAAGAUUAAUACCGCAUAAUAUAAGAGAAUCGCAUGAUUUUCUUAUCAAAGAUUUAUUGCUUUGAGAUGGACCCGCGGCGCAUUAGCUAGUUGGUAAGGUAACGGCUUACCAAGGCAACGAUGCGUAGCCGACCUGAGAGGGUGAUCGGCCACAUUGGAACUGAGACACGGUCCAGACUCCUACGGGAGGCAGCAGUGGGGAAUAUUGCGCAAUGGGGGAAACCCUGACGCAGCAACGCCGCGUGGGUGAUGAAGGUCUUCGGA
rnacentral:rRNA from 1 species